rnacentral:rRNA from 1 species
AUUGAACGCUGGCGGCAGGCCUAACACAUGCAAGUCGAGCGGGGUUUUCGGACCUAGCGGCGGACGGGUGAGUAAUGCGUAGGAAGCUGCCCGAUAGAGGGGGAUACCAGUUGGAAACGACUGUUAAUACCGCAUAAUGUCUACGGACCAAAGUGUGGGACCUUCGGGCCACAUGCUAUCGGAUGCGCCUACGUGGGAUUAGCUAGUUGGUGAGGUAAUGGCUCACCAAGGCGACGAUCUCUAGCUGGUUUGAGAGGAUGAUCAGCCACACUGGAACUGAGACACGGUCCAGACUCCUACGGGAGGCAGCAGUGGGGAAUAUUGGACAAUGGGCGCAAGCCUGAUCCAGCCAUGCCGCGUGUGUGAAGAAGGCCUUCGGGUUGUAAAGCACUUUCAGCGAGGAGGAAGGGACGUAUGUAAAUAGCAUGCAUUUUUGACGUUACUCGCAGAAGAAGCACCGGCUAACUCUGUGCCAGCCGCCGCCGUAAUAC